CAGCAGCCGCGGUAAUACGUAGGGUGCGAGCGUUAAUCGGAUUUACUGGGCGUAAAGCGUGCGCAGGCGGCCCGUUAAGACAGGUGUGAAAUCCCUGGGCUCAACCUAGGAAUUGCGCUUGUGACUGGCGGGCUCGAGUACGGUAGAGGGGGGUGGAAUUCCUGGUGUAGCAGUGAAAUGCGUAGAGAUCAGGAGGAACACCGAUGGCGAAGGCAGCCCCCUGGGCCUGUACUGACGCUCAUGCACGAAAGCGUGGGGAGCAAACAGGAUUAGAUACCCUGGUAGUCCACGCCCUAAACGAUGGGUACUAGCCGUUUGGUGCGCGAUAGCGCUGAGUGGCGACGCUAACGCGUGAAGUCCCCCGCCUGGGGAGUACGGCCGCAAGGUUGAAACUUAAAGGAAUUGGCGGG
rnacentral:rRNA from 1 species